GUGGAUUCUAUGCUUGUGCCCUUACUCCAAU
rnacentral:piRNA from 1 species